rnacentral:RNase_P_RNA from 1 species
UUAGGACAGACAGACGACCGCCGGGUCCUUUGGGACCGGGAGGAAAGUCCGGGCUCCACAGGGCGCGGUGCUGGGUAACGCCCAGCGGGGGUAACCCCGGGCAAGCGCAACAGAAAGCAGACCGCCUUGAGCCUUAGGGCUCAUGGUAAGGGUGAAACGGCGAGGUAAGAGCUCACCGGCCGGUCGGGCGACCGAUCGGGCCAGGCAAGCCCCACCGGGAGCAAGGCCAAGUAGAGGGACACGGGCGGCCCGUCCAGUCCCCGGGUUGGUUGCUGGAACUUCGGGGUAACCCGAAGUCUAGAGGAAUGGUCGUCGCCAUGGGCCACAGCCGGGACUUGGCCCAGGGAACAGAACCCGGCUUAUGACUGCCUAAGCCU